AUCCAAUGAGACUGCUCAGUUACUAAGGUCACGAACAUAGUAAUCUAAUGAUAUCGGCCAGCCAUAGCCUACAAAGACUGUAGGCUAUGGUGUGAACUAAUAGGAAUUGAAUGAAAAAGGAACAACCAUUAUGUUCAAGUUAAAAUCAACAGCACAGACAGAAGGAGACAUACCAAAAACCGAACAAGCUGGUCGUUCUCAGGCAGAAGGAGAAACACAAUCAGCCAAAGUUGCAGGUUAUUUAUUGAGAGCCCUUGCACCUGCCAGUAAGUACAUUUUAAUUAUAAACAAUUAUUCAUUUAUUUAUGUUAAAAAUUAUUAUUUUAUUUUAUUUUAAAAAGCAAACCCAGAUAUACAGCUAAUAGCUGAUAAUGUGAAAGAUGACAUAAUCAUUGCCCCGCGGGACAUCAAUUUUUCAAACCCCCAUA
rnacentral:lncRNA from 1 species